CUCUCAGUGCAGAGAGUAUGAAAUGUCAGUGGCAGCAGGAGUGGGACCCAGGAGGAGCAGGAUGUAAUAUUGCCCUGCACACAGACACUGCUUCCAAGGGCAUGGUACAGGUGUAACUGAAAUGGCUUUAACUUCCAACUGCCCUAACCAACACCAUACCUGUAUUUGCAUGGGUUUCAUUAGAUGAGGCCUAAAAACAUCCUGGAAAGCACAGCAUCUAUGCUGAGCUCCUUACAUUCACAACAGGAUGGCUACUGGUAAUGGAAUAAUCUGGUUAAAUUUAUCUUAUAUAUCAAAGUCACUGCUUUGGAUUCUGGAGUUCUUGUAUAUGGGCUUCAGAUUUAGAGAUGGGAGCUUCUACAGGCAGUGGGCUGCCAACAGCUUUGGUGAUGGUGUCUCUUCUCCACAUAAUGUGCUUCAGAAAAAAAUGGUCUUUGCAGUGUGUUUUGAAGGUGGAUCCAUUCAGAUAUCUGAUAUGUUUUUGACCAAGCCUCUGCCAGUGUAUUAGCUGUCCUUGUGACUCUGUAGCUGCUGCCUUUCCUGUAUCAGUUAGGAACAUCCAACCUGAAAAUAAGUGGGUUGAAGUCACCUCAAGAGAAAUGAAACAGAGAUCUGCUGCCACCUUUUGAUCACUUGGAAAUCCUUCCAUGUCCCCAACACAGAAAACAGUGCCGUGGAAUGGAAGCGACUGUCUUUCACUAAAUGGUGAAAAUAUCCAUCUGUCA